UUGGGGACAAGAGUUGUAGGAUGGUGAUUCAGCACAUAUGAUGUAAUGAGGUCAAUUCUCCAACACACUCUGCUGUCAAACACUGCCUCCAAAACAGCAGAAGAUCAAGGAUACUUACUACCCAAAACACAAAUCGCUGGCAUCUGCCUAAUGGAACACUCGCAGUUGGGAGAAAAAUCUCAAAAUUUAUUGGGCUCAACUGUUUAACAAAACAGCAUUAAAAUGUAAAAUCUAAGGAUCAAGAAAAGGAUCUGAAUGUGGAGAAACGGGAACCCUCUUGCACUAUUGGUUGGAAUGCAAACUGGUGCAGCCACU